rnacentral:rRNA from 1 species
AUGAACGCUGGCGGCGUGCCUAAUACAUGCCAGUCGAGCGAACGGACGAGAAGCUUGCUUUUCUGAUGUUAGCGGCGGACGGGUGAGUAACACGUUGAUAACCUACCUAUAAGACUGGGAUAACUUCGGGAAACCGGAGCUAAUACCGGAUAAUAUUUUGAACCGCAUGGUUCCAAAGUGAAAGACGGUCUUGCUGUCACUUAUAGAUGGAUCCGCGCUGCAUUAGCUAGUUGGUAAGGUAACGGCUUACCAAGGCAACGAUGCAUAGCCGACCUGAGAGGGUGAUCGGCCACACUGGAACUGAGACACGGUCCAGACUCCUACGGGAGGCAGCAGUAGGGAAUCUUCCGCAAUGGGCGAAAGCCUGACGGAGCAACGCCGCGUGAGUGAUGAAGGUCUUCGGAUCGUAAAACUCUGUUAUUAGGGAAGAACAUAUGUGUAAGUAACUGUGCACAUCUUGACGGUACCUAAUCAGAAAGCCACGGCUAACUACGUG